GGGAAGCGAAGAGAAAAAAAAAAUCAGUGAUUUGUAAAGAGUUGUUCCCUUAUUUUACAUUAGAUUAGAGAGCUUAUUUUGUAGGUUUUAGUGUUUGGUGUACCGAGAAUGUGAUCCAGCUCCUAUCUUGUUGCCUUUUGGCUUCAGUAGCUAUGACUAAAAUAAGGCAAACCCAUAUACAAUUUACUAUUUUUCACUGAGAAUAUUAACUCUUGUGACAUAUUCAAGAAAAUUAGAAAAAAAAAGAAGUCAACCAUCUUGCAUUGUUUAGUUUUCAGUUUUUGGAAGAAAUGAUGGAUUAGCAGUUUUUGUUAAUCUAUUCCAUGAUGCCUAGAACUUGAAAAUAUCAAAAGAAUAUGAAAUAUCCCUCAAUGCUCUAGUGGAUCUUGUUAUAGUAAGGAUAGGGUAAAGGAAUCGGAGUUGGAGCUGGUUACCUUGACGGUUAUAGAAUGCUUGUUGCUUUGUGGAUAAUAAUUUUAUAGCAAGAUUUGUUUGUAAAAUAAUUUAUUAUGUAAAUUACGGUAAAAAAACUUAUUGUUCUCAAUAAAUAGUUUUUUUGGACAUUGAGAGUAUUUAUAAUUACCACUGCUUGUAAAUACCUCUAUUGCUGAACCUGCAGCAAAUUGUUAAUCCUAUUUCCGUAUGGAAUCCCUUGCUUCAUUACAAAAUCAAAACUUGAGGUGGAUAAAUUGGCCCUUUCUUGUUUCUUUGUUUUGAAUUGAUUUCUAUCACAUGUGCCUUAAGUUGAUUAAUUGCACUUUUAGUUGCUUUGAAGCGAAUCUUAAAAGAUACGUAAGGUUUUCCAUCUUCAACUGAGUUUCAAAAAUACCAU
rnacentral:misc_RNA from 1 species